AACGAACGCUGGCGGCAUGCCUAACACAUGCAAGUCGAACGAGACCUUCGGGUCUAGUGGCGCACGGGUGCGUAACGCGGGGGAACCUGCCCUUAGGUUCGGAAUAACUCCCCGAAAGGGGUGCUAAUACCGGAUAAUGUCUUCGGACCAAAGAUUUAUCGCCUUUGGAUGGGCCCGCGUUGGAUUAGCUGGUUGGUAGGGUAAAAGCCUACCAAGGCGACGAUCCAUAGCUGGUCUGAGAGGAUGCUCCGCCACACUGGGACUGAGACACGGCCCAGUCUCCUACGGGAGGCAGCAGUAGGGAAUAUUGGACAAUGGGCGAAAGCCUGAUCCAGCCAUGCCGCGUGAGUGAUGAAGGCCUUAGUGUUGUAAAGCUCUUUUACCCGGGAUGAUAAUGACAGUACCGGGAGAAUAAGCACCGGCUAACUCCGUG
rnacentral:rRNA from 1 species